ACAAUAAGCCGCGUUCCGCACAGCGAAAACACUUUGUCAGGUAAGUAAUGGUAUUUAAAUAUAAAACAAGAUUAUAAAUGGACUGCACGGCUUGGAGUGGACAGAAAAGAGGAGACGGACAACAACAAAGCAUCGGCCGGCAUAACAAACAAACUUAUGUUUGUACACAAUGCACAUAUGGGCAUUGUGUUGCAUGCCGGCCAACUCUGCCGUCCCCCCCCCUGGUCGUCAUAAAUGGAUGGAAUCACCCGCAAGUGUAAUGGAAGUGCCGUCGUCAGAGUGGAUUUUGCUGCUGCUGCUGCUGCUGCUGAUGAUGGAUUCUGGCUGCUGUAGAUGGCUGAUUCUGCUGGCUGCUGGUAAUGGCUGCCCCUACAGGGGGCACCAGUGGCGCUGGUCCGGCCACCGGCCAGUCUCGGCGUGGAUACACACUCGCACACAUUUGCAACCGCAGCGACUCAGGUCCGGCCGCCUAGAUGGUGCUCGAAUUGGCGUGUGUGUGUGUGUGUGUGUGUGUGUGUAUUUGGUGUGCCUUUGGACGGACCGUCCAAAAUUGUCUCACUUGACCAUGAUACAGCGGCUCUGGUCCGGCCGCCUACAGGUAAGUGUGUGUAUGUGUUGUUUAAUGUGUUUUCUUUACAGGUUUUCUGCUGGGGCUGCGUCGUCGAGAUAUGGCUGACCACGCCAUCAACCAAUACACUCUCCAUGGACCAGAGGAGUGUAUUGAAUUGGAGAGGAUGAUGGCGUGUGGAUUUGCAGUGGGCGUGGCAUGUUUGCGCGCCCAUUGUCCAGCACACGACAAGCAACAAGCGGCUGCUGGUCCGGCCGCCUGUAAAUAAAUUUGGAUGCUGAUUGCUGGUUGCUGAGUUUUUCUGCAGAGGAAAUGGACGUCCGUAUUUUCAUCCAGCGCACUCUCCUUGGACCAGUGGGAAGUGUCUCGGCUUGGAGAGGAUGUAGGCGUAGAGAUUGCGGAGGGC